rnacentral:rRNA from 1 species
CUCAGAACGAACGCUGGCGGCGCGUCUUAAGCAUGCAAGUCGAACGGCAAGAGGUAGCAAUACCUCUUAGAGUGGCGGACUGGUGAGUAACACGUGGGUGACAUACCCUUCAGAUGGGGAUAGCUAUUAGAAAUAGUAGAUAAUACCGAAUACGAGCACAGGGGUUAGAGAUCUGUGAGGAAAGGAGCUAAGGCUCCGCUGAAGGAAUGGCCUGCGGCCCAUUAGCUAGUUGGUGAGGUAAGAGCCCACCAAGGCGAUGAUGGGUAUCCGGCCUUAGAGGGUGAACGGACACAUUGGGACUGAGAUACGGCCCAGACUCCUACGGGAGGCAGCAGCUAAGAAUAUUCCGCAAUGGACGAAAGUCUGACGGAGCGACGCCGCCGUGGAUGAAGAAGGCCGGAAGGUUGUAAAAUCCUUUUGAAACUGAAGAAUAAGCGUUGUAGGGAAUGACAGCGUGGUGACAGUAGGUUUUGAAUAAGCAACGGCUAAUUACGUGCCAGCCGCCGC